AGUGAACGCUGGCGGUAGGCCUAACACAUGCAAGUCGAACGGCAGCACAGUAAGAGCUUGCUCUUACGGGUGGCGAGUGGCGGACGGGUGAGGAAUACAUCGGAAUCUACUUUUUCGUGGGGGAUAACGUAGGGAAACUUACGCUAAUACCGCAUACGACCUACGGGUGAAAGCAGGGGAUCUUCGGACCUUGCGCGAUUGAAUGAGCCGAUGUCGGAUUAGCUAGUUGGCGGGGUAAAGGCCCACCAAGGCGACGAUCCGUAGCUGGUCUGAGAGGAUGAGCAGCCACACUGGGACUGAGACACCGUCCAGACUCCUACGGGGGGCAGCAGUGGGGAAAUUUGGACAAUGGGCGCAAGCCUUAUCCAGCCAAACCGCGUGGGUGGAGGAAGCCUUCGGGUUGUUAAGCCCUUUUGUUGGGGAAAGAAAAGCAGCAGGUUAAUACCCCGCUGUUCUGACGGUACCCAAAGAAUAAGCACCGGCUAACUUCGUG
rnacentral:rRNA from 1 species